rnacentral:rRNA from 1 species
CGCCAGUUUUGGCGGAGCCAUCCUUGGGAUACCACCCUUGUAGUACUGGGACUCUAACCAUAGGCCAUGAAUCUGGUCUUGGGACACUGUCAGGUGGGCAGUUUGACUGGGGCGGUCGCCUCCCAAACGGUAACGGAGGCGCUCAAAGGUUCUCUCAGUACGGUCGGAAAUCGUACGUAGAGUGUAAAGGCAAAAGAGAGCUUGAUUGCAAGACAUACAGGUCGAGCAAGGAUGAAAAUCGGACUUAGUGAUCCG